AAGGGUUGGGCUGUUCGCCCAUUAAAGCGGCACGCGAGCUGGGUUUAGAACGUCGUGAGACAGUUCGGUCCCUAUCCGCCGCGCGCGUAGGAGACUUGCGGAAGGCUGUCCCUAGUACGAGAGGACCGGGACGGACGAACCUCUGGUAUGCCAGUUGUCACGCCAGUGGCAUGGCUGGUUAGCCACGUUCGGAAGGGAUAACCGCUGAAGGCAUCUAAGCGGGAAGCCUGUUCCUAGAUGAGGUCUCCCACCCCUUUGUGGGUUAAGGCCCCCAGCAGACCACUGGGUUGAUAGGCCAGAAAUGGAAGCACAGCAAUGUGUUCUCGAGUUGACUGGUACUAAUAGGCCGAGGACUUGCCCAC
rnacentral:rRNA from 2 species